rnacentral:rRNA from 1 species
GCAAGUCGAGGGGUAGCAUUGGAGCUUGCUUCAGAUGACGAGCGGCGGACGGGUGAGUAAUGCUUGGGAAUAUGCCUUAUGGUGGGGGACAACAGUUGGAAACGACUGCUAAUACCGCAUAACGUCUACGGACCAAAGGGGGGGAUCUUCGGACCUCUCGCCAUUUGAUUAGCCCAAGUGAGAUUAGCUAGUUGGUGAGGUAAUGGCUCACCAAGGCGACGAUCUCUAGCUGGUUUGAGAGGAUGAUC